rnacentral:tRNA from 1 species
UGCCGGGUGGUGAAAUGGCAUCACAGAGGCCUUUGAAGCCUUGAUUCAUGGUCCGAAUCCAUGCCCGGCAA